rnacentral:rRNA from 1 species
AUUGAACGCUGGCGGCAUGCCUUACACAUGCAAGUCGAACGGUAACAGGUCUUCGGAUGCUGACGAGUGGCGAACGGGUGAGUAAUACAUCGGAACGUGCCCGAGAGUGGGGGAUAACGCAGCGAAAGCUGUGCUAAUACCGCAUACGAUCUACGGAUGAAAGCAGGGGAUUCGCAAGGACCUUGCGCUCAUGGAGCGGCCGAUGGCAGAUUAGGUAGUUGGUGGGAUAAAAGCUUACCAAGCCGACGAUCUGUAGCUGGUCUGAGAGGACGACCAGCCACACUGGGACUGAGACACGGCCCAGACUCCUACGGGAGGCAGCAGUGGGGAAUUUUGGACAAUGGGGGAAACCCUGAUCCAGCCAUGCCGCGUGCAGGAUGAAGGCCUUCGGGUUGUAAACUGCUUUUGUACGGAACGAAAAGGUCUUUUCUAAUAAAGAAGGCCCAUGACGGUACCGUAAGAAUAAGCACCGGCUAACUACGUG